rnacentral:rRNA from 1 species
CCCUUAGAUGUUCGGGGCCGCACGCGCGCUACACUGAAGGAAUCAGCACGUCUUUCUCCUUGUCCGAAAGGACUGGGUAACCCGCUGAACCUCCUUCGUGCUAGGGAUUGGGGCUUGUAAUUCUUCCCCAUGAACGAGGAAUUCCCAGUAAGCGCGAGUCAUAAGCUCGCGUUGAUUACGUCCCUGCCCUUUGUACACACCGCCCGUCGCUACUACCGAUUGGAUGGUUUAGUGAGAUCCUCGGAUUGGUCCCGGCGCGGCCGCUGGUCGUGCCGGAGGGCCGAAAAGAAUGUCGAACUUGAUCAUCUAGAGGAAGUAAAAGUCGUAACA